ensembl:lncRNA
AUUAUAUUGAGGGACUAGGGUUACAUGUUGUGUUCACUGAAUCAUUUACAAUGAACAUAAACAUUUAUAAUCACAAAAAAAGGUAUUUCUGAAAAUCAGUAUCUGUUACCAUCAUUCAAAUGCAAUGUCAUUGAUUUAUAUUGCAUUAUUUAGUCUAUUGUUUUCUCAUUUUUUAAAAAAAUAGCAAUUAAGGCAAAGAGGAAAUCUUUAUGGUUAAUAUUUAAAAUUUUAUCUUUAGAAAUAAAAAAGUGGUUCAUCAUACAUAAAAGAAAAAACAAAUUUAAUCUGUAAGAGUACAUUAUCUUUAAUUUUCUUAAGUCAAAAACAGUUUACAUAUUAGCAUCAGUGUAAACAUCCUCUCUGACGUCACAAUGUUAAGACUUCUGUUGCCUUGGUCCCAUCUCAUUCUGACCCUGGGCUCAUUGGCCCUUAUAAUUUAAUCUGAACAAUGGAACCGGAGACAUCAGCAGUGUCCAGGCUCUCUGAUGAUCUUCAUCCUUCGCCAGCGGCAAUUCAUGAAUUAAAUACAGAGUUUUCUGAGGAAAGUACAGUAUACUCAGACCUCAAAGUUCAUUGUUCUUCAAAUACCCAGAAUGGAAAAAUAACUAAAACUUCGAAAACAAAAGUGUCUCCGUGGUGCAUUGCUGCUGUGAUAUUUGCCUUCCUUUAUAUAAUCACUCUGGUAAUAGUUGCAGCUAUGGUAGCUAAGAUUCAUUGUCUUGAGGAGAUCCUGCAAAAGGCAGCCACUGAGACUGCACAUUGCAAUAUAAUAUCACAAAACAAAGGUAAGUAUUGGUUUACAAUGGGAAUGUUGGUAUCUAUCACACAUAAGCUGUUUAAAUCUGGACAUAAUUUGUAA